CCCUUAGAUGUUCUGGGCCGCACGCGCGCUACACUGAUGCAUUCAACGAGUUUCUUCCUGGUCGAGAGGAAUGGGUAACCUUUUGAAAGUGCAUCGUGAUAGGGAUAGACUAUUGCAAUUAUUGGUCUUCAACGAGGAAUUCCUAGUAGACGUAGUUCAUCAGACUGCAUCGAUUACGUCCCUGCCCUUUGUACACACCGCCCGUCGCUCCUACCGAUUGAAUGCUCAGGUGAGCCAUUCGGACUUUCAUCAUGCUGGUUUCCAGUUUUGAUGAAGGAAAGUCUUGCGAACCUUAUCAUUUAGAGGAAGGAGAAGUCGUAACA
rnacentral:rRNA from 1 species